UGAACGCUGGCGGCGUGCUUAACACAUGCAAGUCGAACGAACCUUCGGGUUAGUGGCGGACGGGUGAGUAACGCGUGAGAAUCUGCCCUCAGGAGGGGGAUAACGGUUGGGAACGACCGCUAAUACCCCAUAUGCCUACUGGUGAAAUGAAUUUCGCCUGAGGAUGAGCUCGCGUCUGAUUAGCUAGUUGGUGAGGUAAUGGCUCACCAAGGCUUCGAUCAGUAGCUGGUCUGAGAGGAUGAUCAGCCACACUGGGACUGAGACACGGCCCAGACUCCUACGGGAGGCAGCAGUGGGGAAUUUUCCGCAAUGGGCGAAAGCCUGACGGAGCAACGCCGCGUGAGGGACGAAGGCCUCUGGGCUGUAAACCUCUUUUCUCAAGGAAGAAGAUAUGACGGUACUUGAGGAAUAAGCCACGGCUAAUUCCGU
rnacentral:rRNA from 1 species